AACGUAGGUGGCAAGCGUUAUCCGGAUUUACUGGGCGUAAAGCGUGUGCAGGCGGGGGUACAAGUGGUGUAUGAAAUUUCCCAGCUUAACUGGGAAGGGUUAUGCCAGACUGUACUUCUGGAGUGCGAGAGAGGCGAGUGGAAUUCCUGGUGUAGCGGUGAAAUGCGCAGAUAUCAGGAGGAACACCAAUUGCGAAGGCAGCUCGCUGGGACGUGACUGACGCUGAGACGCGAAAGCGUGGGGAGCAAACAGG
rnacentral:rRNA from 1 species